AUUGAACGCUGGCGGCAGGCCUAACACAUGCAAGUCGAACGGUAACAGAAAGCAGCUUGCUGCUUUGCUGACGAGAGGCGGACGGGUGUGUAAUGUCUGGGAAACUGUACUUUGGCGGGGGAUAACAACUGGAAACGGUAGCUAAUAUAGCACAUCGUAGCAACACCAAAGAGGGGGACCUUCUGGCCCCUUGCCAUAGGAUGUGCCCAGAUGGGAUUAGCGAGUAGGUGGGGUAACGGCCCACCAAGGCGACGCUCACUAGCUGGUCUGAGAGGAUGAUCAGACAAACUGGAAAUGAGACACGGGCAAGAGUCAGACGGGAGGCAGCGGUGGGGAAUAUUGGACAAUGGGCGCAAGAGUGAUCAAGCCAUACCGAGGGGGUGAAGAAGGAAUUCGGGUUGUAAAGCCCUUUUGUUGGGAAAGAAAAGAAGCAGGUUAAUAAACCGAUGUUCUGACGGUAACCAAAGAAUAAGCAACGGCUAAAUUCGUG
rnacentral:rRNA from 1 species